rnacentral:rRNA from 1 species
CCUACGGGAGGCAGCAGUGGGGAAUAUUGCACAAUGGGGGAAACCCUGAUGCAGCCAUGCCGCGUGUGUGAAGAAGGCCUUCGGGUUGUAAAGCACUUUCAGUUGUGAGGAAAGUUUAGUAGUUAAUACCUGCUAGAUGUGACGUUAGCAACAGAAGAAGCACCGGCUAACUCCGUGCCAGCAGCCGCGGUAAUACGGAGGGUGCGAGCGUUAAUCGGAAUUACUGGGCGUAAAGCGCACGCAGGCGGUCUGUUAAGCUAGAUGUGAAAGCCCCGCGCUCAACGUGGGAGGGUCAUUUAGAACUGGCAGACUAGAGUCUUGGAGAGGGGAGUGGAAUUCCAGGUGUAGCGGUGAAAUGCGUAGAGAUCUGGAGGAACAUCAAUGGCGAAGGCAACUCCCUGGCCAAAGACUGACGCUCAUGUGCGAAAGUGUGGGUAGCGAACAGGAUUAGAUACCCUGGUAGUCCACACCGUAAACGCUGUCUACUAGCUGUUUGUGAAUUUAAUUCGUGAGUAGCGAAGCUAACGCGAUAAGUAGACCGCCUGGGGAGUACGGCCGCAAGGUUAAAACUCAAAGGAAUUGACGG